rnacentral:rRNA from 1 species
AGCCAGACUCCUACGGGAGGCAGCAGUGGGGAAUAUUGCACAAUGGGGGAAACCCUGAUGCAGCGACGCCGCGUGAGCGAUGAAGUAUUUCGGUAUGUAAAGCUCUAUCAGCAGGGAAGAAGAUGACGGUACCUGACUAAGAAGCCCCGGCUAACUACGUGCCAGCAGCCGCGGUAAUACGUAGGGGGCAAGCGUUAUCCGGAUUUACUGGGUGUAAAGGGAGCGUAGACGGCGAUGCAAGCCAGAUGUGAAAGCCCGGGGCUCAACCCCGGGACUGCAUUUGGAACUGUGUGGCUGGAGUGUCGGAGAGGCAGGCGGAAUUCCUAGUGUAGCGGUGAAAUGCGUAGAUAUUAGGAGGAACACCAGUGGCGAAGGCGGCCUGCUGGACGAUGACUGACGUUGAGGCUCGAAAGCGUGGGGAGCAAACAGGAUUAGAUACCCGCGUAC